rnacentral:rRNA from 2 species
UAGUGGCGAACGGGUGAGUAACACGUGGGCAAUCUGCCCUUCACUCUGGGACAAGCCCUGGAAACGGGGUCUAAUACCGGAUAAUACCUGCCUGGGCAUCUGGGUGGGUUGAAAGCUCCGGCGGUGAAGGAUGAGCCCGCGGCCUAUCAGCUUGUUGGUGAGGUAGUGGCUCACCAAGGCGACGACGGGUAGCCGGCCUGAGAGGGCGACCGGCCACACUGGGACUGAGACACGGCCCAGACUCCUACGGGAGGCAGCAGUGGGGAAUAUUGCACAAUGGGCGAAAGCCUGAUGCAGCGACGCCGCGUGAGGGAUGACGGCCUUCGGGUUGUAAACCUCUUUCAGCAGGGAAGAAGCGAGAGUGACGGUACCUGCAGAAGAAGCGCCGGCUAACUACGUGCCAGCAGCCGCGGUAAUACGUAGGGCGCAAGCGUUGUCCGGAAUUAUUGGGCGUAAAGAGCUCGUAGGCGGCUUGUCACGUCGGGUGUGAAAGCCCGGGGCUUAACCCCGGGUCUGCAUUCGAUACGGGCUAGCUAGAGUGUGGNAGGGGAGAUCGGAAUUCCU